rnacentral:lncRNA from 1 species
AGACCAGACCCAGUUAUCAUAAUGACAGGACAAUGGGUUAUGUCAUGGUAGCCAAGACAGACAUCAAUGUUUGAUAGGGAAAUUCCAGGCUACUAAAAACUAAAAUCCACGGGGAAAAUGUAGACUUUAUUUUUAAUUGAUAUGAAAAGUCAAGAUUAACUUAAGAAGAAAAGAGGAAGAGAAUUUGACCUUACUUCACCUUUUCGUUCCCUCCAGGCCCCCAGCCCACUGGAUGGUGUCUGCUACAUUGAGAGUGGAUCUUCC